GUCCACGCCCUAAACGAUGUACACUAGUUGUUGUGAGACUUGAUCUUGCAGUAAUGCAGUUAACACAUUAAGUGUACCGCCUGGGGAGUACGGUCGCAAGAUUAAAACUCAAAGGAAUAGACGGGGACCCGCACAAGCGGUGGAGCAUGUGGUUUAAUUCGAAGCAACGCGCAGAACCUUACCAACCCUUGACAUGGGCGUCGCGGGACCGGAGACGGUCCUUUCAGUUCGGCUGGACGCCACACAGGUGCUGCAUGGCUGUCGU
rnacentral:rRNA from 1 species